rnacentral:lncRNA from 1 species
UUUCCGUCUGCCACCACCGGCGCCGCUCCGCCACAGCCGGAGCAGUCCCGUCAACCUCCCAGCAGCCCAGGGUUGCGGCCGUCGUUCUGCUCUGCCUUUCAGCCUCCCAGCAGCAGUCGCAGAAGCAGCCUUCUCCCAGCACCAGCACCAGCACCUCGACUCCGGCGGCCACACCAGCACGGCGACACGCCCUCGACUCCGGCGGCCACACCAGCACGGCUUCUACUUCUUGAAAGCCAGAUCCGCCCACAGAUCCGCCGUCCCUCGACUCCGGCGGCCACACCAGCACGGCGACACGCCUCGACUCCGGCGGCCACACCAGCACGGCUUCUACUUCUUGAAAGCCAGAUCCGCCCACAGAUCCGCCGCCCAGAAGUAGUCUGCCUUCGACUCCAGAUCGGCGACACCUUUCUCCGGCGAAACCUGCGGUAGCUACCUUCGACUCCAGACCAGCGAGACUAUCCACUCCGGCGAGACCACGCCUCCAGGCCCAACGCAGCCCUCAAGUCCGGCGAGAACGCGCAUCCAGCCAGGCCUUCCGACUCUUUAUGAAAGAUCAGCGUCCAGAUCCGC